rnacentral:rRNA from 1 species
CCUACGGGAGGCAGCAGUGGGGAAUAUUGGGCAAUGGACGCAAGUCUGACCCAGCAACGCCGCGUGAAGGAAGAAGGCUUUCGGGUUGUAAACUUCUUUUAAGGGGGAAGAGCAGAAGACGGUACCCCUUGAAUAAGCCACGGCUAACUACGUUCCAGCAGCCGCGGUAAUACGGAGGUGGCAAGGGUUGACCGGAUUUACUGGGUGUAAAGGGCGUGCAGCCGGAGAGACAAGUCAGAUGGGAAAUCCACGGGCUCAAACCGUGAACUGCCUUUGAAACUGUUUCCCUUGAGAGGCGGAGAGGUAAUCGGAAUGCCUUGUGUAGCGGUGAAAUGCGUAGAUAUAAGGAAGAACACCGGUGGCGAAGGCGGAUUACUGGACGCUAACUGACGGUGAGGCGCGAAAGCGUGGGGAGCGAACAGGAUUAGAUACCCUUGUAGUC